rnacentral:rRNA from 1 species
UACGAAGGGUGCAAACGUUGCUCGGAAUUAUUGGGCGUAAAGCGCACGUAGGCGGUUCGGAAAGUCCCAUGUGAAAUCCCACAGCUUAACUGUGGAAGUGCAUGGGAAACCUCCGGACUUGAGUACGAAAGAGGAUCGCGGAAUUCCCGGUGUAGAGGUGAAAUGCGUAGAUAUCUGGAGGAACACCGGUGGCGAAGGCGGCAUCCUGGACCGACACUGACGCUGAGGAGCGAAAGCCAGGGGAGCAAACGGG